ACACGACGGUCUUCCGAUCAAAUCUCCAGGUUAAAAUAAAUACGAUUCACAAUCAGUGCUAACGUUACUUACAGUAAGUCUGGUUUUCAUUGGUACCAGGCUAGGGCUAAAUUUGAAAAUAAUCAACAGACCAAUGGUUCAUUUAAGAAAAU